GAUUAAUGCUCGCGACGUGCCUAAGGUAUGCAAGUCGAACGAGAAACCUCGCUUGCGAGGUGGACAGUGGCAGACGGCUGAGUAAUACAUGAGAACUUACCCUAAAGACGGGCAUAGCUACGAGAAAUCGUAGGUAAUUCCCGAUAGUCUCUUCGGAGUAAACGCUUUUGCGCUUUAGGAUGGGCUCAUGGCCUAUCAGGUUGUUGGUGAGGUAAAUGCUCACCAAGCCUAUGACGGGUAGCUGGUUUGAGAGGAUGAUCAGCCAGACUGGGACUGCGACACGGCCCAG
rnacentral:rRNA from 1 species